rnacentral:rRNA from 1 species
UACGGGGGGGGCAAGCGUUGUUCGGAAUUACUGGGCGUAAAGGGCUCGUAGGCGGCCAACUAAGUCAGACGUGAAAUCCCUCGGCUUAACCGGGGAACUGCAUCUGAUACUGGAUGGCUUGAGUUUGGGAGAGGGAUGCGGAAUUCCUGGUGUAGCGGUGAAAUGCGCAGAUAUCAGGAGGAACACCGGUGGCGAAGGCGGAUCUCUGGGCCAUUACUGACGCUGAGGAGCGAAAGCGUGGGGAGCGAACAGG